rnacentral:tRNA from 1 species
AUGGAAAUCUCUGUAAUUUUUAGAUAGUAUAGGGGCGGAUGUAGCCAAGUGGAUCAAGGCAGUGGAUUUGUGAAUCCACCAUGCGC